rnacentral:lncRNA from 1 species
UAUAAAUGGUCAUGCAAUAUGCUGUGGGUUUAAAAUUCUUCACAUAAGUUGGGUUUGGAACCUUUGGGACCAUAGUAAUAGUGGUUGUAUUGAUGGCUCUUAAAAGUUUACCAUUUUAAAGGAAUUAAGUAACAGCUUCAACCACCUCCUCACCUGUGAUUUCCUAAUAUUCCUUGAAGAAUUCUACUAGGAAUCCAUCCUUGACUGGGGCAUAAUCAUUGGGCA